rnacentral:rRNA from 1 species
UGGGGAAUAUUGCACAAUGGGCGCAAGCCUGAUGCAGCCAUGCCGCGUGUGUGAAGAAGGCCUUCGGGUUGUAAAGCACUUUCAGCGGGGAGGAAGGCGAUAAGGUUAAUAACCUUGUCGAUUGACGUUACCCGCAGAAGAAGCACCGGCUAACUCCGUGCCAGCAGCCGCGGUAAAACGGAGGGUGCAAGCGUUAAUCGGAAUUACUGGGCGUAAAGCGCACGCAGGCGGUCUGUCAAGUCGGAUGUGAAAUCCCCGGGCUCAACCUGGGAACUGCAUUCGAAACUGGCAGGCUAGAGUCUUGUAGAGGGGGGUAGAAUUCCAGGUGUAGCGGUGAAAUGCGUAGAGAUCUGGAGGAAUACCGGUGGCGAAGGCGGCCCCCUGGACAAAGACUGACGCUCAGGUGCGAAAGCGUGGGGAGCAAACAGG